rnacentral:rRNA from 1 species
CCUACGGGGGGCAGCAGUGGGGAAUAUUGCACAAUGGGGGAAACGCUGAUGCAGCAACGCCGCGUGAGUGAAGAAGUAUUACGGUAUGUAAAGCUCUAUCAGCAGGGAAGACGAAAGACGGUACCUGACUAAGAAGCCCCGGCUAACUACGUGCCAGCAGCCGCGGUAAUACGUAGGGGGCAAGCGUUAUCCGGAUUUACUGGGUGGAAAGGGAGCGUAGACGGCUGUGCAAGUCUGAAGUGAAAGCCCGUGGGUCAACCGCGGAACUGCUUUGGAAACUGUAUAGAUGGAGUACUGGAGAGGCAGGCGGAAUUCCUAGUGUAGCGGUGAAAGGCGUAGAUAUUAGGAGGAACACCAGUGGCGAAGGCGGCCUGCUGGACAGAAACUGACGUUGAGGCUCGAAAGCGUGGGGAGCAAACAGGAUUAGAUACCCGGGUAGUC